rnacentral:rRNA from 1 species
AGUGAACGCUGGCGGUAGGCCUAACACAUGCAAGUCGAACGGCAGCACAGUAAGAGCUUGCUCUUACGGGUGGCGAGUGGCGGACGGGUGAGGAAUACAUCGGAAUCUACUUUUUCGUGGGGGAUAACGUAGGGAAACUUACGCUAAUACCGCAUACGACCUACGGGUGAAAGCAGGGGAUCUUCGGACCUUGCGCGAUUGAAUGAGCCGAUGUCGGAUUAGCUAGUUGGCGGGGUAAAGGCCCACCAAGGCGACGAUCCGUAGCUGGUCUGAGAGGAUGAUCAGCCACACUGGAACUGAGACGCGGUCCAGACUCCUACGGGAGGCAGCAGUGGGGAAUAUUGGACAAUGGGCGCAAGCCUGAUCCAGCCAUACCGCGUGGGUGAAGAAGGCCUUCGGGUUGUAAAGCCCUUUUGUUGGGAAAGAAAAGCAGCAGGUUAAUACCCCGCUGUUCUGACGGUACCCGAAGAAUAAGCACCGGCUAACUUCGUG